GGCCUGGGAACAGUGGGUUAACUGCCUGUUCAGGGGCAGAACGACAGAUUUGUACCUUGUCAGCUCGGGGGUUUGAACUUGCAACCUUCCGGUCACUAGUCCAACACUCUAACCACUAGGCUACCCUGCCGCCCCUCCACUCUAACCACUAGACUACCCUGCCGCCCCUCCACUCUAACCACUAGGCUACCCUGCCGCCCCUUCACUCUAACCACUAGGCUACCCUGCCACCCCUCCACUCUAACCACUAGGCUACCCUGCCGCCCCUCCACUCUAACCACUAGGCUACUUGCCGCCCCUCCACUCUACCCACUAGGCUACCCUGCCUCCACUCCCCUCUAACCACUAGUCUACCCGGCCGCCCCUCCACUCUAACCACUAGGCUACCCUGCCGCCCCUCCACUCUAACCACUAGUCUACCCUGCCAGCCCACCACUCUAACCACCAGGCUACCCUGCCACCCCUCCACUCUAAACACUAGUCUACCCUGCUGCCCCUCCACUCUAACGACUAGUCUCCCCUGCC
ensembl:lncRNA